rnacentral:lncRNA from 1 species
CUCAGCAUCACCUCAGUGAACCAAGGCUGUUUUUAUAAAGAAGGUCAUGGUUAACGUUCCCUGACUCUAAAGACCCUGAUGGAGAUUUGAGAGGCAAUUAUUUCCUGAAUCUUAUUAACUUUAAAGUGGCUGAAGGCUUUCUUAGUUGAGAACCAAAUAAAAAAAUUACUUGGACCGUGUUUUGCAAUAAUGAAGGGAAGCAAGAAAAGUGAGUUUCAUCAGCUGUGCAGAAGUCAUUUCCUCUGCCCUCUCACUUUGACCUCUGACCGCAGCAGCCACCAGGUUAAGGUUUAUAAUCAGAAGCUUAUCAAACCAGGGGUCGGGGCAUGCUCACUAGGACGUCCAGUUCUCCACCAUCAGUGAGACCUUGUUCUCACUUCUCUCUGUUCCCUGUUUAUUUAAGUGUCACGUUUAUAGUCCUACUGAUAAAUGUGUUUUCUUUCCAAGAUAGCUUUCCCUAAAACCUGGCAUUAUUCUGCAGGCAUGGGGGCAUAAGAAAUAAGAGAUCAAAUUUGCACCACCUGACACUUCUUUGGGGCUGUAAUCAUCAGGAGCUUCAGAGUCUUUGAUAAAGAACUCUCCUUUAUCACCCAGAAGAGACAAAUCUAAACUGUAUCGAGUUUUCAUUUUAAAAGUUGAAGAAACUAUUGUGGCAGAAAAUAAUUCUCUUUAAAGGCAUAAACACCCCAGAUGAAACAGGGUGGAAAUUAUGCUUGGUGUAUAAAGAAAGCAUUUUCCACUGAUUCAUGCCUUCACUUCAAAUAGAAUCUUCAAAUUCAUAGAUACCACACAUUGCUUCUGAGCUUUGAGUGGUUGUCUUAAGAAUAAUUGUACUUCUGAGUAGAUGAGCAAUAAACACCAUAAAAUGUUU